UUCAGAGAUUGCCUAUGUCGUUACCCAUGUAAGUGGAUACGGGAAUGCAAUUGUUAA
rnacentral:sRNA from 12 species